UACGUAGGGUGCGAGCGUUAAUCGGAAUUACUGGGCGUAAAGCGUGCGCAGGCGGUUGUGCAAGACAGAUGUGAAAUCCCCGGGCUUAACCUGGGAAUGGCAUUUGUGACUGCACGGCUAGAGUGUGUCAGAGGGGGGUGGAAUUCCGCGUGUAGCAGUGAAAUGCGUAGAGAUGCGGAGGAACACCGAUGGCGAAGGCAGCCCCCUGGGCUAGCACUGACGCUCAGGCACGAAAGCGUGGGGAGCAAACAGG
rnacentral:rRNA from 1 species